rnacentral:rRNA from 1 species
UUACAAUGCUGGCAACAGCGAUAAGGGAACCUCGAGUGCCAGGUUACAAAUCUGGCUGUCGAGAUGCCUAAAAAGCAUUUCAUAGCAAGGGCCGGGCAAGACCGGUGCCAGCCGCCGCGGUAACACCGGCGGCUCGAGUGGUAACCGUUAUUAUUGGGUCUAAAGGGUCUGUAGCCGGCCGGAUAAGUCUCUUGAGAAAUCUGGCAGCUUAACUGUCAGGCUUUCAGGAGAUACUGUCUGGCUCGAGGCCGGGAGAGGUGAGAGGUACUUCAGGGGUAGGGGUGAAAUCUUGUAAUCCUUGAAGGACCACCAGUGGCGAAGGCGUCUCACCAGAACGGACCUGACGGCAAGGGACGAAAGCUAGGGGCACGAACCGGAUU